rnacentral:rRNA from 1 species
GUGGAUUAGAUACCCUAGUAGUCCACGCCCUAAACGAUGUCUACUAGUUGUCGGGUCUUAAUUGACUUGGUAACGCAGCUAACGCGUGAAGUAGACCGCCUGGGGAGUACGGUCGCAAGAUUAAAACUCAAAGGAAUUGACGGGGACCCGCACAAGCGGUGGAUGAUGUGGAUUAAUUCGAUGCAACGCGAAAAACCUUACCUACCCUUGACAUGGCUGGAAUCCCCGAGAGAUUGGGGAGUGCUCGAAAGAGAACCAGUACACAGGUGCUGCACGGUUGUCGACAGCU